rnacentral:lncRNA from 1 species
AUGAGACAUUUGUAGAAAUGAAAAACACAACCUAAUAAACAGACAAUUGAUACAACUUCUCAUACAUACACAUUCAUUGAUGUAGAAAAAAAUCAAUUCAACACAUUUGACAAAUACUCUUACAUACAUAGUAUCACAAUGGUAAAUUAAUCAUGUUAAAGGAGAUAUUUUGGAGAAUAAAAACAAGGCCAUAUCAUCCAGAGUAAACUUCCCUGAGGACUAACAUUGCUAUACAUAUAUAACUAGUAAGGCAUGCUAAAUAAAACAAAUAAUUCAUGAAUAUAUUUAUUCAGUGCAUGUGAUCUUUGAGGGGAGGGCACAGAUAUCUUUGAACUGCACUGUAAACUAAAAAGAGCAAUAUUUGGUGUCAUAUUAUAGAGUAGCUUGUAUUGAUUCCAAAAAAAAUAUAUGAUUUUUAAAUACUUUUUGUAAAUAAAGGGAGACUAUUUUAUCACUUCUAGUGUAAUAAGAUAUUUUCCUUUAUACUGAUUGUGAAAAUAUGUACUUCCUACUUUUGCUAGGUACUUUUUCUUGAAUGAAUUCAGUUCUUUCUUUGUGUUGAUGAAACUGUAGGCAGUAAAAUAGAACUCCUUUCUGCAACUUGUGCAACUUCUAAAAUAAUAUGCUUUUAUUUCAUGCUAUUCAUGCACACAUCAUUUUUGUAAAUUGGUUAUAUGACCAUAGAUUUUUAAGAAAUUGCUUGGGUAUGGAUAAAAUGAAAGAAUAUACACCUCAAAAUUAUCUUUUGUUUACUUAUAAAAAACACAGUUAAGGUAAAGGAUACAAUGCAACCUUAAAUCCAUAAAAUGUUUAAGAGGUAAACAAUUUGAUUUUUUUAAAUAAUGGAUACAUUAAAACUAUUGAAAGUAAAAGAAAUAAUGCUUGGCAGUUUCAAAAUAAAAGUUGUUUUUACAUAUUAUUUGAAAAAAAAAUAUAUAAGUGGGCUUAACUUUAUAUAUAAAAGAAAAAGACAGACAGAGAAAAAAA